rnacentral:rRNA from 1 species
GGAGUCUGGUCCGUGUCUCAGUACCAGUGUGGGGGAUUAGCCUCUCAGCUCCCCUAGGCAUCGAUGGCUUGGUGGGCCGUUGCCCCGCCAACUACCUAAUGCCACGCAUGCCCAUCCGCGACCACCCGGAGGCUUUCGGCACCAUCCCAUGCGAGACAGUGCGUUACGGGGUAUUAGUCGGCGUUUCCACCGGUUAUCCCCCUGUCGCGGGCAGGUUGCAUACGCGUUACGCACCCGUGCGCCGGUCGCCAUCAACAAGUGCAAGCACUCGUCAUGCUGCCCCUCGACUUGCAUGUGUUAAGCCUGUAGCUAGCGUUCAUCCUGAGCCAUGAUCAAAACUCU